UACGAUAUGCCAUCCAACAAAGCUCUUUAUGCCUCUCCUAUAUCGGAAAAUAAAUUUUUCAUCUGAAAGAAUUUCUCUGUGGAAAUGGCAAACCAGCGUGUGACUCUGAAAUGUUGUCAAGAAAUAAGACGAUUAUCCUGACUUCUCUAAAAAGAUAAUCCCUUACAACGGCACAAAAAGAGGAACCUGCCCGCAGUGUGCGGCCAUCAUGUUGCUGCAGAACAAGCAAUCCAGCCG